rnacentral:rRNA from 1 species
GAUGAACGCUAGCGGCAGGCCUAACACAUGCAAGUCGAACGGCAGCACGGGAGCAAUCCUGGUGGCGAGUGGCGAACGGGUGAGUAAUAUAUCGGAACGUGCCCAGUCGUGGAGGAUAACGUAGCGAAAGCUACGCUAAUACCGCAUACGAUCUAUGGAUGAAAGCGGGGGAUCGCAAGACCUCGCGCGAUUGGAGCGGCCGAUAUCAGAUUAGGUAGUUGGUGAGGUAAAGGCUCACCAAGCCGACGAUCUGUAGCUGGUCUGAGAGGACGACCAGCCACACUGGGACUGAGACACGGCCCAGACUCCUACGGGAGGCAGCAGUGGGGAAUUUUGGACAAUGGGCGCAAGCCUGAUCCAGCAAUGCCGCGUGCAGGAUGAAGGCCUU